GGGGAAACCCCCGGUCCUGGUCGACCAGUUGGGGACGUGCUUGGGUGUAAAUCCUUUUUCCCCGGAAAUAUGAUGGUACUGGGGAGAACCCCGCUAAACUACGUGCCAGCAGCUGCGGUAAUACGUAGGUUCAAGCGUAUCCGGAUUUAUUGGGCGUAAAGCACAUGUAGGUGGAUUGACGCGUCUCCUUUUAAAUCUCUGGGCUCAACCCAGAACUGGAGGAGAUACGGUCUUUCUUGUGGUCAGCAGGGGCAAAUGGAAUUCCCGGUGUAGGAGUGAAAUCCGUUGAUAUCGGGAGGAACACCAAUGGCGAAGGCAAUUUGCUAGGCUGAUUCAGACACUGAGAUGUGAAAGCGUGGGGAGCGAAUGGGAUUAGAUACCCCAGUAGUCCACGCCGUAAACGAUGCACACUAGGCAUUGGGAGUAUCGACCCUUCUUGUGCCGAAGCUAACGCGUUAAGUGUGCCGCCUGGGAAGUACGGUCGCAAGACUAAAACUCAAAGGAAUUGACGGGGGCUCGCACAAGCGGUGGAGCAUGUGGUUUAAUUCGACGACAAGCGGGGCACCUCACCCAGGCUUGACAUCUAGGGAAAGCCUAUGAAAGUAGGCCGUGCCGCAAGGAACCCUAAGACAGGUGUUGCACGGUCGUCGUCAGCUCGUGUCGUGAGAUGUACGGUUAAGUCCGUAAACGGGCGAAACCCACGUCCGGUGUUAAAUUUUUCACCGGAGACCGCCGGCGUUAAGCCGGAGGAAGGUGUGGAUGACGUCAGAUCAGCGUGGCCCUUACGCCUGGGGCUACACACGUGCUACAAUGCCAUAGACAAUGGGUUGCCAAGCCGCAAGGCGGAGCUAAUCCCACCAAAAUAUGGCCCAGUUCGGAUUGGAGUCUGCAACUCGACUCCAUGAAGCCGGAAUCGCUAGUAACCGCGUAUCAGCCACGUCGCGGUGAAUACGUUCUUGAGCCUUGUACACACCGCCCGUCAAGUGAGCCGAGUCGGCAGCACCAGAAGCGCCUUCCAAGGUGCCAAGGUGAGGUCGGUAAGGAGCACUAAGUCGUAACAAGGUAUCCGUAGGGGAAUCUGCGGCUGGAUCACCUCCUUAAUCUAGAUGCG
rnacentral:rRNA from 1 species